rnacentral:rRNA from 1 species
UAGGGAAUCUUCCACAAUGGACGAAAAGUCUGAUGGAGCAACGCCGCGUGAGUGAAGAAGGGUUUCGGCUCGUAAAACUCUGUUGUUAAAGAAGAACAUAUCUGAGAGUAACUGUUCAGGUAUUGACGGUAUUUAACCAGAAAGCCACGGCUAACUACGUGCCAC